UAUAAACACUAGAUGGCUCAUGGGAGAUUUUCCAGCGUAGCUCACCGGCCGCCAUCUUGCUACAGUCAACAGCUACUCUGGUACGCGCUAUGGUAGCUGUUGUAAGAAGUACCUGACUAUGCCGGACUUUUGUGCAGCCUACGGAUGCUCUAAUCGCCGCAGUCUGGAAACAAGAACCCGUGGAAUCACCUUUCACGUGUUUCCCAAAACCGGAGAGAGGAGGAGGCAGUGGGAAGCUGCCCUAAGAAGGCAGGACACUGCUCUGCAGUGAGCACUUCAGUUGUGAGGACUUUGACAAGACGGGGCAGACUGUCCGGCUUAAAGAUGGUGUUGUGCCAACAGUAUUCAACUUCCCAGCUCAUCUUCAAAGGCCGGAAGCAACAAGAAGCACAACCACUUCUAGAAGAGCGGAAGAUGAACCUCAGCCUAAUGUUGUGAGUAUUCUGAAUGUGGCCAAGACCAGAGAGAUGGUCAUUGAUUUCAGGAGGGUGAGGACGUCUCCUCUGCCCCUGUGCAUUCUGGGAGAGGAUGUGGCUGUUGUGGAGGACUACAAAUACCUGGGAGUGCACUUA